ACGGCGGCUCAGUGGGCGGCGCGGCUUCGGCGACCACGACAACGACGGUGCGGUGAGCACAGGGCAACGAAGGGAAGCGCCGUGGACGCUGCUACAAAUGCAGGGAGCACGGCACUUACGGCGCGAGUGCCCGAAGCUGCAGAAAGGACCGGUGACGAAGCAGACUCUCCUGGCCGACGCCAACGUUGACUACGAUGGACUCCUCUAAGUCGUGGCUUAGGGGGGGUGUUGGAAUAAGCCACGACGACUGAUGCGGUCGGGCGCAUCGGGUGUGUGCGGGACGUGCGGGACGCACUGAUGGGGUCGGGCUCGUCCGGCGUGUCGGGUGCGCGCUGGGCGCAGCGGAAACCGUGGCGGUGUGUGUCCUGCGUGUGUGCGUGUGUGUCUGGGCAUUGUAGACUAGUACAUGGUAGUGUGCGUGCGUCUUGGCUGGGCACCCGAAGGCCGAGUCGUCAAUCGUGUUGAGUACGUUGAGGAGCACGUCCUGUGGACGAGUACGUUGAGGCUGCGUGAUCCACAUCCGGCAAAUGAGCACGCCAAGACCAGGCAGUGGACGAGCUACGUGCGGUUGCCCUGAUGUAUAAAAGGCCUUGUAAUCAUACGGUUUGCUGAGUCCAGAUAUAUAACAACACGGUUGUACGUGCAGCCGGGGCGUUCGUAGCCGGAAAGACUCAUUUGUUCUGCUCUUUCUUCUACCUCCGGCUGAGAGAGGGAGAGCAAGUCCUGUGUAUGUCCCAACGGGGUUCUGGUUCUGGUUUGGACAUCAGGGAUGACAGUGAUGGCAAGAAGAACCAAGGUUUAGGUUUAACCGUUUAAGGCAGCAGCAUGGCCAUGGUGGUGAUGGAUGAAAUUGAUGGACGGUUGAUUUGGUUAGGUGGGUGGGUGUCCGUUGCAGCGAGCGAGCAAAUAGCUAGCUGGUGUUCCCUAGUUUUCCAAACUACAAGUAUUUAAUUACAUAAAAAGUAGAUCUCUCCUAAUAAUAAAACACACAGCGCUUCUGUCACCCGCCGCGGCAUUUUUGUAAAAACACACCUCGCUUUUCCGGUAUGCAACCUGGAGUAGACUUUCUAAGUUAAAAACAUUUCGGCUUUACAUAACCCCCUCCCCGGCUUAUCCAUUCCCGUCGGAGGGGCCUUCUCGCCGCUCCUCCACCGGCGGGCUCCCCACCGGCACCUUCGGGCUGACCGGCAUCGGCGCGUGGGAGGCGGUGGUCGUCUUCAUCUCCCGCACCCACGAGCAGCCCCUGAUCUGCUCCGACCGCCGGCCCCGAUCCACGCCGGAUCCGAUCUGCUCCUCGCGCCGUCGGCCCUCUCCUCCCGCCGGUCGUCGGCCCCGAUCCACGCCGGAUCCGAUCUGCUCCCCGCGCCGCCGCCCCCCUCCUCCCGCCGGUCGACGGCCCCGAUCCAUGCUGGAUCCGAUCUGCUCCCCGCGCCGUCGCCCCGCUCCUCCCGCCGGUCGUUGGCCCCGAUCCACGAGGAGCCCGAGUUGGAGCCGGAUUCCAAGUCUUGAAGCCACCUCGGUGACGCAGCGACGCUUGAUUUGUAGCGGCGCGUGCAGUGGAGCAGCCGUCCAUAUCCACGGUGCCGUUGGAACAAAUCCCUCCUCUUCUCCCUCCCUCCUCCCUCUCUCACUAAAUUGAAUGUGCAGAGCACCAACAACAGAUUGUUCAUGUCCAAUGUGUGUGUAAAUUCAAAGUAGUGGCGCUUGUCCAAUAUGUGCAACAGAUUGUUCCUUUUGCUCCAUCUGUUCUUCCCUCCUUCUGAACAAAAUAAAGCAAAGAAAAUAAAAACUAUGGUCAGUCGUGUGAGCUUAGCAGCAUCUAUCCAAGUUCUGUGGGAUGCUGCAUUUUUUUUUCACUCUGUGACCAUUCAAAAUAUGAUCAUACUCUUGUUGGCAUUUUCUUUGUUUAUGGAAUGAUGUACUCCCAUAGUUAAAAUGGGUUUCAUUAUGCAUAUGUAUGGAGUAGUCAAUUUAAUUAAAAUGUGUUUCCAUAUGCAUAUGUAUGGAGCACUAGGCCAUUUAAUUAAUUGUACCUUUUUCAGUAAAGUGUAUGAGUAGCAUCUUUGUGUUAAUUAAGUGUAGGAGCUUGGAGUAGUCCAUUUGCUCCCCUCUUACAAUAGUGCUCCUCUUUUACUCUAAUUCCAGAAACAAAUGAAACCAAACGAAACUUUUCCUUAACUGAAAUGAUGGCUAAAAUGAAACCAAAUGACACAAAAUGAAACUUUUCCUUAACUCAAACUUUAACUAAAACCAUAAAUAAUCUUUUCCUUUACUAAAACAUCAACUGAAUUUAACUGAAACCAUAAUUAAAAUUUUCCUUAACUGAUUUUAUCUGAAACUCCACAUGUAAGCCUCAUGUAGUUCAGACUUCAGGAAAAAAAAGUGCGGAAACAAUGCUGAAACUUGUACCUUCCGGUUGUUGUAUGUUGUCAGGUCUGGGACGUGAACAUCAUCCAGACGGCAGAGAAGGACUACUACGACGAAGACGCGGGCAAAUUCGUCGACGCGCUGAACAAGAGCAUAAAGGUGUGAAAUCUUUCUGAAUAGUUUUUCAUCUGAUCUACAUGUUGAUGGUUCAUGAGGUGGUGACGUGUUAUUUAGAUUUAUGAUAUUUUGUAGUAACUGACGCUGAUCGAUAUACUGAUUGCAGGGGGCGUGGUCAGACAAAAUGCAGGAAUGGGAAGAGUGCGCCAAGAACCAGACGGCGUGCCCGGACAUGUACGUUUGCUUGGCUGCAUUUUUCACAAAGGGCAAUAUAAUAUAAGAAAAUCUUUAGUAUUUAUUCGGUUAAAUAAUUAUAUGUUAGGAAAAAAGAACAGUCUGAAUAUUUUGGUAGACGUAUUAGGAGUACUUAUGAAUUAUUGCUACAUUCUUUAAACCUCAGCCUUUAUUUUUGAUUGUACAACAAAUAUGCAUGAGGUUUUCAUAGAAUGAUCACCAUGGUUGCCGUUAUGUAUGAGGUUUUUCAUAGAAUGAUCACAAUUUAAAAUAUAUAUUGUUUAAUUUUUUCCUCUAAGUGAGCUGAUGUAUAAUACUUUGUUGGGUUUCAUCUUGCAAUGGAACCCGAGGGAGAGCUCCCUGUUCAUCUAAAAAUAACUCUGAAACCAAUAACCUAUGCCUCAGUUGGAUCUGAAAACUCGGAUAGGCAUUGCGGUCGUAUUUUCCUUUCUUUCUAGAUGUAAUAGUUGGUCCAGAUCAUCUUUUCUUGAGAUAAUCAAACCAGAUAGUUCAUACAACACGCUUCUUUUCACAACAAACAUGUUCAGGAAAGAAAAACAAAUCAGACUUUGAUGGAUACAGGGAGGAACACGCUCAUCUAAUCAAAUCGGUUGAUUCUCUUCAUUUUUUAUUCUCCAAAUCUACAGUUUGCUUCUACAUUUUUUCAAAGGACGAUAGGUGGAGGAAUAAGAGUUCAUGUCAUAGAUAAUUGGUAGUCUUAGUUAAACCAUAUAACAUAUAGGGGGUGUUUGGUUGGGCUUCCAGCCAGCUUCCGGCUUCCGGCUUCGAAGCCANNNNNNNNNNNNNNNNNNNNNNNNNNNNNNNNNNNNNNNNNNNNNNNNNNNNNNNNNNNNNNNNNNNNNNNNNNNNNNNNNNNNNNNNNNNNNNNNNNNNACCAUUAUCUUGAUACAGGAAUUAAAAUAAUAACUAUACAUUUAUUAUUGCCUCUAGGGCAUAAUUCCAACACCAUCUGCUGGUGGCAGUUGAUAAGUUCACCAAACCUGUUGGAGCUUGCAAUGCGGAGACAGCGGUCAAAUUCUUGAAAAAGCUGAUUUUCCGGUUUGGAUAUCCGCACAGUAUCAUUACUGAUAAUGGUACUAACUUGUCCCAAGGGGCGAUGCAGGAGUUUUGUCGUCGAGAGCAUAUUCGGCUUGAUGUUUCUGCAGUCGCUCACCCACAAUCUAAUGGGCAGGCGGAGCGGGCGAAUCAGGAGGUUUUGCGAGGAAUUAAGCCCCGACUCAUGGUUCCCCUGGAGAAAACCCCAGGGUGUUGGGUUGAAGAAUUACCUUCAGUACUGUGGAGUAUUCGGACUACCCCGAACCGGUCCACAGGUUUCACCCCUUUCUUUCUGGUCUAUGGAGCAGAAGCCAUUCUUCCCACUGAUAUAAGGCAUGACUCACCUAGAGUCGCCGCAUAUGUGGAACAAGACAAUGAGCUGGCGCGUCAAGACUCUUUGGACGCCUUAGAGGAGGCACGUGACCUGGCUACGGCCCGUUCAGCUAUCUACCAGCAGGAUCUACGGCGUUAUCACAACCGCCGGGUUAAGAGUCGGACCUUUCAGGAAGGCGACUUGGUUCUUCGAUUGAUACAAGAUCGUGCUGACAUGCAUAAGUUAUCACCGCCUUGGGAAGGACCGUUCGUCGUCAGCAAGAAUCUCCACAAUGGCUCUUAUUACCUGGUGGAUCUUCGGUCUAACCGGCCAACCACGGAGGCUGAGUCAACUCGCCCGUGGAAUAUUGCCCACCUGCGGCCUUAUUACACUUGAGCUUUGAACUAUGCAUUUUGUAAGUUUUUCAGUUUCAUUAUGAAGUAAUAAAGUUAAAAAAACUCUCCGACUUGGGGGCUUUUUCAUUAAAGAACAAUUUUGCCAUCCUGUUGCGAUCUUAUGAGCCGACAGAAUCAUCAUCAUUUAGGGUGGCGCUUGAGCUUUGUGACUCGCCCCAUCCUGUCGCGAUCUUAUGAGACGACGAAAACAUCAUCAUCAUUUAGGGUGGUGCUUGAGCUUUCUGACUCGCCCCAUCCUGUCGCGACCUUAUGAGCCGACGAAAACAUCAUCAUCAUUUAGGGUGGCACUUGAGCUUUCUGACUCGCCCCAUCCUGUCGCGACCUUAUGAGCCGACGAAAACAUCAUCAUUUAGGGUGGCGCUUGAGCUUUCUGACUCGCCCCAUCCUGUCGCGACCUUAUGAGCCGACGAAAACAUCAUCAUCUUAGGGUAGCGCUCGAGCUUUCUGACUCGCCCCAUCCUGUCGCGACCUUAUGAGCCGACGAAAUCAUCAGCAUUUUAGGGUGUGUGCUCGAGCUUUCUGACUCGCCUCAUCCUGUCGCGACCUUAUGAGCCGACGAAAUCAUCAGUAUUUUAGGGUGUGUGCUCGAGCUUUCUGACUCGCCUCAUCCUGUCGCGAUCUUAUGAGCCGAUGAAAUCAUCAGCAUUUUAGGGUGUGUGCUCGAGCUUUCUAACUCGCCUCAUCCUGUCGCGACCUUAUGAGCCGACGAAAACAACAUUUUAGGGUGUGUGCUCGAGCUUUCUGACUCGCCUCAUCCUGUCGCGACCUUAUGAGCCGACGAAACCAGCAUUUUAGGGUGUGUGCUCGAGCUUUCUGACUCGCCUCAUCCUGUCGCGACCUUAUGAGCCGACGAAACCAUCAUUUUAGGGUGUGCGCUCGGGCUUUCUGACUCGCCCCAUCCUGUCGCGACCUUAUGAGCCGACGAAACCAUCAUUUAGGGUGUGCGCUCGAGCUUUCUGACUCGCCUCAUCCUGUCGCGACCUUAUGAGCCGACGAAACCAUCAUUUAGGGUGUGCGCUCGAGCUUUCUGACUUGCCCCAUCCUGUCGCGACCUUAUGAGCCGACAAAAUUACUGUUUUUAUUUUCCUUCAUGGCAUGGCCACGAGGGUUUUUCAAAAUCUUUUUCCUGAUUUAUCUUGAAAAUAUUUGUUAUCAUUUAUUUGGUUUCACGUAUGUUGUUUUCAAAACCUAAGUCAGGUUGAUGAUCAAAGCCACUUCAUCCAUGGCGGAUUAAGCAUUUUAAAGGAUUCUCAAAUGGCGGAUCAAAUAUUUCAAAUCGCCUUAAGGGCGACGUAAAGAUUCUUUCGAGAGUAUCACAAAAGCAGUACCGACUUAUGAAAAAGACCUAUUACAUGGCUCUUAGGCCAAAUCAAUGAAGUUUACUCUGUUGGCGCCUUCAGAUCAUUUUGCUGCGAGCUUUGGCCGACCUCAAUUUGCAAGUCGCCCAGUACCCAGUUACACUUGGCCAGAGCUGCGAAGUCAUCUUCAUCGGUCGGGAUUAAUGCCAGAUCUGCUUCCAAGUCAAAAGGGUUCUUGGGUCGCCGAGGAGUUAAACUGGUCGUCACAAAGGUUGGCGGGCUGACCUUCUUGUUCUUGCUGUCAUAAGCAGCCCGAUACUUUGAUAAAUCCAGACUUGCCGCGAGUUGGUUGCUGCCAGCCGGGAGUCCUUGACAACACGUUGAUAAUCCUCUUCGACGAAUUCUGACCCAUCAUCUUUGAGUUGAGGAAAGCCUGCCGCUACCUCUUCCGGGUUGAUCUCUGGAGCAUACGCCAAACAGCGACUCAAGGCAGUCAGAAUCCCCUUCCGAGCGGCUGACCGAGUUAACUCGCCAAUCUGAGGGGGAAGCGUAGAUAGGCAGCCGAGCAUCUUCUUUAUGGAAGUUAUGGGCUCUUUGGCACCCAUCACAGCUUUAACAGUUAGAACACUGCCAGUGUACAGCUGCUCUGUCAGCGUGUAAAUCGCCUUCAGCAUCAGCACGCAAUCAUCCUGAAGGUUGGCGGCUCUCGGACCUGUGUAAGGGGUCAUGAUAAUCAGCGACUUGCAAAUAAGAGUUAUAAAAAAAAGGGGGAUCAAAAGUUUGAGUAAGUUUACCAAAGACGGCUUGCGUCAUAUUUGAGAUAUGACGCUUCAAGCCGGACAAUUCUUGUUGCACAGUAGCCAGCCUGGCUUCAGCCUUUUCUGCUCUUUUGGUUGCAGUAUCUUGGUCAGCUUGAGCUCUUUUCAAAUCAGCUUUAAGUUUUUCCAGUUCAGCCAUGACCAAUUGAUGCUUCUCCUCCGACUUAGCCCGGACAUCUUGCUGACCAGAUAAGUUUUUCUUUAAAUCGCCAAGUGUCGAUUCAGUCUGAGCAAGGGUUUCCUGUUUGAAAGUACAAAAUAAGGGGCAAGUCUCAGAAUUAUUGCAAGCAAUAUCCCUCACACUUGGGGGCUAAUGUAUAUUUUUUUCUUUUUAGAUGAAAUUAUACAAUAUGAUGACCCGGCCCUUGGGGGUUAUUGGUCGAAAGUUUUUUCUGCAUUUAUCAAGACCCGGCUCAUCUUUUUACNNNNNNNNNNNNNNNNNNNNNNNNNNNNNNNNNNNNNNNNNNNNNNNNNNNNNNNNNNNNNNNNNNNNNNNNNNNNNNNNNNNNNNNNNNNNNNNNNNNNGGAAGCGUUGCUAGAACGCGGUUGAUGGAGUCGUACUCGCAGCGAUUCCGAUCUAGUGCCGAACAACGGCACCUCCGCGUUCAACACACGUGCAGCCUGGUGACGUCUCCCGCACCUUGAUCCAGCAAGGAGGAGGGAUAGGUUGGGGAAGAAGACCAGCAAGGCGACGGCGUGGUGUUGGUGGAGAGACGAGAUCUCCCGGCAGGGCUUUGCCAAGCGCCGGCAGAGAGGAGGAGGAAGAAGUGCAGGGCUGCGCCGAGGGAGAGGGAAAACCGUGUCCUCCAAAGGCCAAAAGUGCCCACUAUAUAUAGGGGAAGGGGAGAGGGGUUGCCACCCCUAGGGUUCCCACCCUAGGGGGUGCGGCAGCCCUCCCAGAUGGGGGUAGUGGCGGCCAGGGCAAGGAGGAGGGGUGGCGCACCCCUCUGGUGGGCCUAAGGCCCACCUUAGUUAGGGUUCCCCCCUUCCCCUUUUUUUCUGGUGCACAUGGGCUGGGUGGGGGGCGCACCAGCCCACUUAGGGGCUGGUUCCCUUCCCCACUUAGCCCAUCUAGCCUCNNNNNNNNNNNNNNNNNNNNNNNNNNNNNNNNNNNNNNNNNNNNNNNNNNNNNNNNNNNNNNNNNNNNNNNNNNNNNNNNNNNNNNNNNNNNNNNNNNNNAGACCUAUCAUGGUGAUGUCCAUCUACGAGAGGGGAUGAGUGAUCUACGUACCCUUGUAGAUCGUACAGCAGAAGCGUUAGAGAACGCGGUUGAUGUAGUGGAACGUCCUCACGUCCCUCGAUCCGCCCCGCGAACAAUCCCGGGAUCAGUCCCACGAUCUAGUACCGAACGGACGACACCUCCGCGUUCAGCACACGUACAGCUCGACGAUGAUCUCGGCCUUCUUGAUCCAGCAAGAGAGACGGAGAGGUAGAAGAGUUCUCCGGCAGCGUGACGGCGCUCCAGAGGUUGGUGAUGAUCUUGUCUCAGCAGGGCUCCGCCCGAGCUCCGCAGAAACGCGAUCUAGAGGAAAAACUAUGGAGGUAUGUGGUCGGGCAGCCGUGAGAAAGUCGUCUCAAAUCAGCCCUAAUUGCUCCAUAUAUAUAGGAGGAGGGAGGGGGACCUUGCCUUGGGGUCCAAGGGACCCUCAAGGGGUCGGCCGAGCCAAGGGGGGGGAGGACUCCCCCUCCAAACCGAGUUGGACUUGGNNNNNNNNNNNNNNNNNNNNNNNNNNNNNNNNNNNNNNNNNNNNNNNNNNNNNNNNNNNNNNNNNNNNNNNNNNNNNNNNNNNNNNNNNNNNNNNNNNNNAAUACGAUCUAGUGCUAGGCUUAGGAUUGGAUCUUGUCCACCACAUCAUUCUCCCAAUGAUGUGAUCCCGUUAUCAAUGACAUCCAAUGUCCAUGAUCAGGAAGCCAUGAUCAUCUAUUGACUAACGAGCUAGCCAACUAGAGGCUUGCUAGGGACACAUUGUGAUCUAUUCAUUCACACAUGUAUUACUGUUUCCUGUUAAUACAAUUAUAGCAUGAACGAUAGACGAUUAUCAUGAACAAGUAAAUAUGAUAAUAACCAUUUUAUUAUUGCCUCUAGGGAAUAUUUCCAACAGUCUCCCACUUGCACUAGAGUCAAUAAUCUAAUUACAUUGUGAUGUAUCGAACACCCAUAGCAUUAUGGUGCUGAUCAUGUUUUGCUCGUGGAAGAGGUUUAGUCAACGGGUCUGCAAUAUUCAGAUCCGUGUGUACUUUACAAAUAUCUAUCACUCCACUCUGGACAUGGUCCUGGAUGGAGUUGUAGCGGCGCUUGAUGUGUUUCGUCUUCCGGUGAAACCUGGGCUCCUUGGCUAUGGCAAUGGCUCCAGUGUUAUCACAGAAGAGUCUCAUAGGACCCGACGCGCUUGGAACCACUCCAAGGUCGGUGAUGAGCUCCUUCAUCCAAAUUCCUUCAUGAGCCGCUUCUGAAGCAGCUAUGUACUCCGCUUCACAUGUAGAUGCUGCCACGACUUCUUGCUUGCUGCCGCACCAGCUCACUGCCCCACCUUUCAACACAUAUACGUAUCCGGUUUGUGACUUAGAGUCAUAUGGAUCUGUGUCGAAGCUAGCGUCGACGUAACCCUUUACGACGAGCUCUUCGUCACCUCCAUAAACGAGAAACAUUUCCUUAGUCCUUUUCAGGUACUUAAGGAUAUUCUUGACCGCUGUCUAGUGUUCCGCACCGGGAUUACUUUGGUACCUCCCUACCAAGCUUAUCGCAAGUUUAUAUCAGGUCUGGUACACAGCAUGGCAUACAUUAGAGAGCCCACGGCUGAAGCGUAGGGGACAGAACUCAUCUUCUCUCUAUCUGCUGCCGUGGUCGGCGACUGAGUCUUACUCAAUCUCAUACCUUGCAAAACUGGCAAGAACCCUUUCUUUGAGUUUUCCAUAUUGAACUUCUUCAAUAUCUUGUCAAGGUAUGUACUUUGCGAAAGACCUAUGAGGCGUCUUGAUCUAUCUCUAUAGAUCUUGAUGCCUAAUAUGUAUGCAUCUUCUCCAAGGUCCUUCAUUGAAAAACUCUUGUUCAAAUAGGCCUUUAUGCUCUCCAACAUCUCUAUAUCAUUCCCCAUCAAUAAUAUGUCAUCCACAUAUAGUACGAGGAAAGCUACAGAGCUCCCACUCACUUUCUUUUACAGACAGGCUUCUCCGUAAACCUGUAUGAACCCAAACGCUUUAAUCACCUCAUUAAAGCGAAUGUUCCAACUCCGAGAUGCUUGCACCAGCCCAUAGAUGGAGCGCUGGAGCUUGCACACUUUGUUAGCACCCUUAGGGUCGACAAAACCUUCUGGUUGCAUCAUAUACAACUCUUCCUUAAGGUUCCCAUUAAAGAACGCUGUUUUGACGUCCAUUUGCCAAAUUUCAUAAUCAUAAAAGGCGGCAAUUGCUAACAUGAUUUGGACUGACUUCAGCUUCGCUACGGGAGAGAAAGUCUCUUCGUAGUCAACUCCUUGAAUUUGUUGAAAACCCUUUGCGACAAGUCGAGCUUUGUAAACGGUUACAUUACCGUUUGCAUCAGUCUUCUUCUUGAAGAUCCAUUUAUUUUCUAUGGCUCGCCGGUCAUCGGGCAAGUCCACCAAAGUCCAUACUUUGUUCUCAUACAUGGAUCCUAUCUCGGAUUUCAUGGCCUCAAGCCAUUUGUUGGAAUCCGGGCCCGCCAUCGCUUCUUCAUAGUUCGAAGGUUCACCGUUGUCUAACAACAUGAUUUCCAUCACAGGGUUGCCGUACCACUCUGGCACGGAGCGUACCCUUGUGGACCUUCGCGGUUCAGUAGUAACUUGAUCCGAAGCUUCAUGAUCAUCAUCAUUAACUUCCUCUUCAGUCGGUGUAGGCACCACAGGAACAACUUCUUGCGCUGCGCUACUUUCCUGUUCGAGAGGGGGUGUAAUUACCUCAUCAAGUUCUACCUUCCUCCCACUUACUUCUUUCGAGAGAAACUCUUUCUCUAGAAAGGAUCCGUUCUUGGCAACAAAGGUUUUACCUUCGGAUCUAAGAUAGAAGGUAUACCCAAUAGUUUCCUUAAGGGUAUCCUAUGAAUACGCAUUUCUCCGCUUUGGGUUCGAGCUCUUCUGGUUGAAGUUUCUUCACAUAAGCAUCGCAGCCCCAAACUUUAAGAAACGACAACUUAGGUUUCUUGCCAAACCACAGUUCAUACGGUGUCGUCUCAACGGAUUUAGACGGUGCCCUAUUUAAAGUGAAUGCUACAGUUUCUAAUGCGUAUCCCCAAAAUGAUAGCGGUAAGUCGGUGAGAGACAUCAUAGAUCGUACCAUAUCUAAUAAAGUGCGAUUAUGACGUUCAGACACUCCAUUGCGCUGCGGUGUGCCAGGCGGCGUUAGUUGUGAAACGAUUCCACACUUCCUUAGGUGUGUGCCAAACUCGUGACUCAAAUAUUCUCCUCCACGAUCAGAUCGUAGACAUUCAAUUUUUCUGUCACGUUGAUUCUCAACCUCACUCUGAAAUUCCUUGAACUUUUCAAACGUCUCAGAUUUGUGUUUCAUCAAGUAGAUAUACCCAUACCUACUCAAAUCAUCGGUGAGAGUGAGAACAUAACGAUAACCACCGCGAGCUUCAACGUUCAUUGGACCACACACAUCAGUAUGUAUUAUUUCCAAUAAGUCGGUGGCUCUCUCCAUUAUUCCUGAGAAUGGAGUCUUAGUCAUCUUGCCCAUGAGGCACGGUUCGCAUGUGUCAAAUGAUUCAAAGUCAAGAGACUCUAGCAGUCCAUCAGUAUGGAGCUUCUUCAUGCGCUUAACGCCGAUAUGACCAAGGCGGCAGUGCCACAAGUAUGUGAGACUAUCAUUAUCAACUUUGCAUCUUUUGGUACUCACACUAUGAAUAUGUGUAACAUCACAAUCGAGAUUCAUCAAGAAUAAACCAUUCACCAGCGGAGCAUGACCAUAAAACAUAUCACUCAUAUAAAUAGAACAACCAUUAUUCUCUGACUUAAAUGAGUAGCCGACUCGCAUUAAGCAAGACCCUGAUACAAUGUUCAUGCUUAAAGCUGGUACUAAAUAACAAUUAUUAAGGUUUAAAACUAAUCCCGACGGUAGAUGUAGAGGUAGCGUGCCGACGGCGAUCACAUCGACCUUUGAACCAUUCCCGACACACAUCGUCACCUCGUCCUUGGCCAGUCUCCGCUUAUUCCGCAGUUCCUGCUUUGAGUUGCAAAUGUGAGCAACAGCACCGGUAUCAAAUACCCAGGAGCUACUACGAGCGCUGGUAAGGCACACAUCAAUAACAUGUAUAUCACAUAUACCUUUAACGUUGUCGGCCUUCUUGUCCGCUAAGUAUUUGGGGCAGUUCCGCUUCCAGUGACCUUUUCCCUUGCAGUAGAAGCACUCAGUCUCAGGCUUGGGUCCGUUCUUUUUCUUCUUCCCGGCAUCUGGCUUACCGGGCGCGGCAACAACUUUGCCAUCUUUCUUGAAGUUCUUCUUACCCCUGCCUUUCUUGAAACUAGUGGUCUUGUUGACCAUCAACACUUGAUGCUCCUUCUUGAUUUCUACUUCUGCAGACUUGAGCAUCGAGUACAACUCGGGAAUGGUUUUCUCCAUCCCUUGCAUGUUGUAGUUAAGCACAAAGCCUUUGUAGCUUGGUGGGAGGGACUGGAGGAUUCUGUCAAUGAUAGCACCAUCCGGAAGUUCGACUCCAAGUGAAGUCAGACGACCGUGUAACCCAGACAUUUUGAGUAUGUGCUCACUGACAGAACUGUUCUCCUCCAUCUUACAGCUGAAGAACUUGUCGGAGACUUCAUAUCUCUCGACACGGGCAUGAGCUUGAAAAACUAGCUUCAGCUCUUGGAACAUCUCAUAUGCCCCGUGUUGCUCAAAACGUCUUUGGAGCCCCGUUUCUAAACUGUAUAACAUGCCACACCUGACCAGAGAGUAGUCAUCACUCCGCGCUUGCCAGACGUUUAGAACGUCCUGGGCUGCUGCAGGAGCGGGAGGGUCACCUAGCGGCGCAUUAAGGACAUAAGCCUUUUUAGCUGCUUCAAGGAUGAGCUUUAGGUUGCGAACCCAGUCCGCAUAGUUUCUACCAUCAUCUUUCAGCUUGUUUUUCUCUAGGAAUGCGUUGAAGUUGAGGUUGACGUUGGACAUCUACAAUAUUUAUAAAGACAACUUUUAGACUAAGUUCAUGACAAUUAAGUUCAUUUAAUCAAAUUAAGUAUGAACUCCCACUUAAAUUGACAUCCCUCUAGUCAUCUAAGUGUUACAUGAUCCAUGUUGACUAACCCGUGUCCGACCAUCACGUGAGACGGACUAGUCACCAUGGUGAGCAACUUCAUGUUGAUCGUAUUCAACCAUACGACUCAUGUUCGACCUUUCGGUCUCUUGUAUUCGAGGUCAUGUAUGUACAUGCUAAGCUCGUCGAGUCAACCUAAGUGUUUCGCGUGUGUAAAUCUGGCUUACACCCGUUGUAUGCGAAUGUUAGAAUCUAUCACACCCGAUCAUCACGUGGUGCUUCGAGACAACGAACCUUCGCAACGGUGCACACUUAGGGGAAUACGUUCUCGAAAUUUUUAAGAGGGAUAAUCUUAUUAUGCUACCAUCGUUUUAAGAAAUAAGAUGUAAAACAUGAUAAACAUCACAAUGCAAUCAUAUAGUGACAUGAUAUGGCCAUUAUCAUCUUUGCUCAUUCGACCUCCAUCUUCAGGCAUCGCAUGAUCAUCAUCGUCACCGGCGUGACACCAUGAUCUCCAUCAUCAUGAUCUCCAUCAUCGUUUCUCCGUGAAGUCGUCACGCCAACUACUACCAUCACUACUACUAUGGCUAACCGUUAGCAAUGAAGUAAAUGUAGUACGCACAUGGCGUUGCAUCUUAUACAAUAAAUUAAGACAACUCCUACGGCUCCUGCCGGUUGUCAUACUCAUCGACAUGCAAGUCGUGAAACCUAUUACAAUAACAUGAUCAUCUCAUACAUCAUACAUGCAACAUCACAACUUUGGCCAUAUCACAUCACAUGCCAAACCCUGCAAAAACAAGUUAGACGUCCUCUAAUUGUUGUUGCAAGUUUUACGUGGCUGAUUUGGGUUUCUAGCAAGAACGCCUUCUUACCUACGUGACAGCCACAACGAUGAUAUGCCAAAGCUAUUUACCCUUCAUAAGGACCCUUUUCAUCAAAUCCAAUCCGACUAGAGUAGGAGAGACAGACACCCGCUAGCCACCUUUAUGCACGAUGUGCAUGUCUGUCGGUGGAACCAGUCUCACGUAAGCGUACGUGUAAGGUCGGUCCGGGCCGCUUCAUCCCACAAUACCGCCGGAAAAGAAUAAGACUAGUAACGGCAAGCAAAUUGACAAACCAUCGCCCACAACUUUUGUGUUCUACUCGUGCAUAGAAUCUACGCAUAGAAAACCUGGCUCGGAUGCCACUGUUGGGUAACGUAGCAUAAAUUCAAAAUUUUCCUACGCAUGUUCAGAUCUUCCUAUGGAGAGACCAGCAACGAGAGAGGGGUAAGAGCAUCUUCAUACCUUUGAAGAUCGCUAAGCGGAAGCGUUGCUAGAACGCGGUUGAUGGAGUCGUACUCGCAGCGAUUCCGAUCUAGUGCCGAACAACGGCACCUCCGCGUUCAACACACGUGCAGCCUGGUGACGUCUCCCGCACCUUGAUCCAGCAAGGAGGAGGGAGAGGUUGGGGAAUAAGACCAGCAACACGACGGCGUGGUGUUGGUGGAGAGACGAGAUCUCCCGGCAGGGCUUCGCCAAGCGCCGGCAGAGAGGAGGAGGAAGAAGUGCAGGGCUGCGCCGAGGGAGAGGGAAAACCGUGUCCUCCAAAGGCCAAAAAGUGCCCACUAUAUAUAGGGGAAGGGGAGAGGGGUUGCCACCCCUAGGGUUCCCACCCUAGGGGGUGCGGCAGCCCUCCCAGAUGGGGGGUAGUGGCGGCCAGGGCAAGGAGGAGGGGUGGCGCACCCCUCUGGUGGGCCUAAGGCCCACCUUAGUUAGGGUUCCCCCCUUCCCCUUUUUUUCUGGUGCACAUGGGCUGGGUGGGGGGCGCACCAGCCCACUUAGGGGCUGGUUCCCUUCCCCACUUAGCCCAUCUAGCCUCCUGGGGUCGUCACCCCUUUCGGGGGUCCCCGGGACCACCCCCGAUGGUCCCCGGUGGUCCCGGUACAUUACCGGUGAUGCCCGAAACACUUCCGGUGUCCGAAACCAUCCGUCCUAUAUACCAAUCUUUACCUUCGGACCAUUCCGAAGCUCCUCGUGACGUCCGAGAUCUCAUCCGGGACUCCGAACAACUUUCGGUAAUCUCGUAUAACAAUUCCCUAUAACCCUAGCGCCAUCGAACCUUAAGUGUGUAGACCCUACGGGUUCGGGAGACAGGCAGACAUGACCGAGACACCUCUCUGGCCAAUAACCAUCAGCAGGGUCUGGAUACCCAUGGUGGCUCCCACUAGCUCCACGAUGAUCUCAUCGGAUGAACCACUAUGUCAAGGAUUCAAUCAAUCCCGUAUACGAUUCCCUUUGUCUGUCGGUAUAGAACUUGCCCGAGAUUCGAUCGUCGGUAUACCUAUACCUUGUUCAAUCUCGUUACCGGUAAGUCUCUUUACUCGUUACGUAGCACGUCAUCGUGUGACUAACUCCUUAGUCACAUUGAGCUCAUGAUGAUGUUCUACCGAGUGGGCCCAGAGAUACCUCUCCGUCACACGGAGUGACAAAUCCCGAUCUCGAUUCGUGCCAACCCAACAGACACUUUCGGAGGUACCCGUAGUGCACCUUUAUAGUCACCCAGUUACGUUGUGACGUUUGAUACACCCAAGGUAUCCGGGAGUUGCACAAUCUCACGGUCGAAGGAAAAGAUACUUGACAUUAGAAAAGCAUUAGCAUACGAACAAUACGAUCUAGUGCUAGGCUUAGGAUUCGGUUNNNNNNNNNNNNNNNNNNNNNNNNNNNNNNNNNNNNNNNNNNNNNNNNNNNNNNNNNNNNNNNNNNNNNNNNNNNNNNNNNNNNNNNNNNNNNNNNNNNNAGCGCCGCCGCGGCAGUGACCACCGCACGCACCAUACUGAUCUCACUAGCUCUCUUCUCCGUCGGUGGCAAGAGUGACAGUGGUGGCCGCACAGCGAUGCCAGCCACACAACGACGGCGCAAGAGAGUGUUAUUUGCGCGGCUGCGGCUGCGGUGCGGGAGGAGAGGAGUUUAGGAGGCGGGGAGGGGGUUGGGAGGUUGCCGUCGGUUGGUAGUGCCGAUCUUUUUAAUCUCUGCUGUUGAGGGCUGUUGUUGCUGGUGGCGCGUCAGUGGAGUGCACCACACAGUGUCACUGCGGCUGGGGGCUGGCGCGCGCCUGUGAUUGAUUGAUCGGGGGUGUCGGGGGGAAGCGUGGUUGGUGGCGGCGCCGGUUUGGGAGUCCCUCUCGCUCGAUCGGCG
rnacentral:lncRNA from 1 species